rnacentral:lncRNA from 1 species
GUUUAAGUUUGUGUGAUGGUUCCUCAUUAUUAGAUUCACAUUAUGGACUUUUGGCAGGAGCACUUAAGAGGAGAUAAGGUGAUGUAACGUGCUUCUUAAAGCCUUAUAUCAAGAGGUUUAUGCUAUUGAUUAGUUUCGGGCUUGAAACUAAUUGGAAAAAAGUGGUGCCUGCCAGGAUUCUAUACCCAAAGUGAAUAUUUUACCUUUUGUAAUUGUUAAGUCUCAUGAAGAGACACAUUGAGACUAUGUAAAUAUUCUGUUACUCCUAAAGUUUUCACCCACUGGUUUUUAUAUCCAUGAGUAAUUCUUGCCUGAAUCAAUUAUUAUUAUGACAAUUGCCAAGUGAUAGUUCUAACUCUGUUAUUCUUUCUAUGCUUAGUUGUUUGGAGAAAACAAACUGUGAGGAAGGGUUUUCUCUUUAAUGUGUUUAGUUAGUUAUGCCAAUUUGAAUUUGUGUAUUCAUACUCAAUAGGUCUAAAUCCUUUUGCUAGCAUUGUCAUUUUAGUGUUCAAAUUGUCCAGAAUUUGGCUAGAGGAGGUGUCUUCCAACUUGCUCCUGUAUCUUUUGGAAACAUCCAUCACUGAUUACACCCUCACUUUCUGCCAACAUGAUAUUCCAUGUUCAUCUUUUUCUUUCUACCUUCCAGCCCUCUGGAAUCAGAUAUUUCUCCAAGGAGACUUGGCUCACCAUUUUAGUGGAGAAUGGUAUUUAGAAACCGACAGGGGCCGUUUUCUUUGGAAACAUCUCCAGUCAGGGUGAACAAGAGACUCCACCCUGGAAAAUCAAAUGAUCCUUUCUCAAUCUUCAUCCUACAUGCUCCAGCAGGAACAUCUGAUCUGAAGAUUCACUCACUUGAAAUAUGCUCCUUCCUUGGCUUCCCAGAUGAUACUUUCUGAGUUCUCAUUAGUCCUCACUGGUAUCCCUUCUCAGUUUUCUUUACAGGUUCUUCCUCAUUUUUUCCUGACCUUUGUUGACUGUAUUACCUUAGGACAAUACUUAGAGUUCUCCUCUAAAUAUACAUAGUUCCUAGAGAUUAUCACCUGAGAGGCAUUACAGAAUGAUGCUAGAAGUCAUUCAGCCAGAGUCUGCAACCCAACUCAAUUACUUACUAAGUGAAAGUAGAUCAUAGGGAAGAUACAAACCUUCCUGUGCCUCAGCAUCGCUAUAAAAUGGAAAUAUUAAUAAUACAUACCUUAUAAGGUCAUUCUGAGUAUUAAAACAAUUCCUGCUCUUUCGUAAACUCCAUAUAUCAUCAAGUCCCACAUUUAAAAAUACCACCUUUGUAUCUCUCCAGCCUCAACCUCCCCCACACUCAGAAAUAUUUCCAUCACCAGACAUAUAACAGUGACUAGGUGUCUAACACAAAUCUCAAAAUUAACAUAUGAAGAACCAAACAUUAAACUUCACUGUAAUAAUUCAUACCUACUGUUCCCCAGCCUUCCAUCUCAGAAAAUAAGAGCCAGAGGGAUCCAUUUGAAAAUGUAAAUCGUAUCAAAUGAUCGCUUGAUUCAAAACCUUUAAAAGGCUUACUGAUAGGUUCCCAGGAGAACUGAAGAAGCCCCCUCCCUUGGAAUGUGGCCAUUAGAGUUAGACAGCAAGAGACAAUGGUCUACUUGGAAAUAACUGCCUGCAAAGAUUAACCACCUAUAAAGAGUAACUACCCACUGCACAUCAAUUCCUGUUGUUGCAACUUAUCUGGUCUUGAGACUCAGACCCAACCAUCUUCUCUCAUUGUUCUAAUUUUUCCCAUCCCCUAUAAUUUUCCCUACCACGAUCACUGGGUCAUGGGAUUUGACCCCCCAUUCCUUCCCCAAAUUGUGGAACCUUCCUUUCCUUGUUCUUGCCACAAGUUCCCACCAUAGACCCUCACCACAGAUUCUCACCAUGACCCUUUACAAGACUAAAGUCUCUUCACAGUCAGGGCUGAUGCUAAAGUGAGCUCAGCCAGUCUAUUUCUGAUGCCUCGAUAAAUUUCUUGCUUUACUGACUUGGUCUCUCAUGCAUUCCUCCUUUGGUGAACCUAACACUUACCUUUCUAAAAACUAAAACUAAGUCCCUUACCAUGACCUACAGGAUCUGUGUAGCACUGCCUCAGCUACCUCCAAACCCUCACAUCUCUUCUUUCCUCCCCAUUCACCCAGGGCCUUGGCACUCUCUAUUCCCCCCUGCCUGAGGCUCUCUUCCCAUCGGCAUCCAAAUGUCUCAUCUGCUCAGUCUCUGUUAGUAAGGGUUCCUUAGAGAAACAGAGCCAACAAGAUAUAUACGUAAUUGCCAAUUCAAGACCCAAGAAGAGCUAAGGUUUCAAUUUGAGUCCAAAGGCAGGAAACCCCAUGUCCCAGCUCAAAGGCAAUCAGGCAGGAGGAAUUCCUUCUUAUUCAUGGGAGGUCAGUCUUUUUGUUCAACUCAGAUCUUCAAAUGAUUGAAAGGGGCCCACCCACACUAGGCAGGGCAAAUGUUACUGGGAUCCAAAUGUUAAUUUCAUUCAAAAACACCCUCACAGAAACACCUAGAAUAAUAUUUGACCAAGUAUCUACAUAAUCUGUGCCCCAGUCGAGCAGAUGUAAAAUUAACCACUAUACAGUCUUUUACAGUUUUGCUGAGAUAUUAUAUCAGAUAGGAUGUCUCUAACCAUCUAUAUAAAAUCACAACCACAUUCUGUCUGUUUCCUUUGCUUUUUAUUUUUCUUUCUAGUACUUAUCACCAACUGAUUUAUUAUGUAUAGGUGUUCAUUGUUUAUUGUCUCUUCCUUCCUACCUCCCACCCAAUACAUUUGAUUAUAAGUUCCAUGAAUGCAUGGAUUUGCUUUAUUCAUUGCUUUAUUCCUCAUGCUUGGAACAAAGAGGCAAUCCUUAUGCAUUUUUUCUUUGAUAGGUGAAUAUUUUUCCUUAACUGGAUAUUAUUGAAAAGGUAAAUUAUCUUGUUCUUGUAUCACAAAGAUGAGUAAUAUAGCAUAGAAUUUAGUCAUUCAUAUGUGACAUCUUAGAAGCAACUUUCUUUAAGACAGCCAUUGGUAAUGCAUGAAGCUGCUUUUUUUUGUUUUAGAAUAUUCACAUUUUAUGGAUUAUCAUCAUCACUGUUAAAUAUUCUUUAGUAUUCUCUAAGGCAGUAGCAAAAUCUUUUGAUGAGCUCUUAAGAGAUUACCAAGUUCAGCAUAAUUGUCAAAACUAUGGGUAUUAAUUUCUAUCUUAAAGUCUUCGCUGAUUUUUUAAAAAAUGGUAAAUUUCUCACCUACUCAAAUAACAUUUUAUACCCAACAGUUGUCAGUUGAAAAGUUGUGAUGACUACAUUUAAGUUAAAAUAAGCUGGUACAGUGAUCAGUUAACAAAGAGUAUGUAUAAUGCACCUUCAACUCUGAUUUCUUGUUGUUUGUCCUGACAACCAUCUCCAUUCUACUGCCUAGACUCAUUUUACAGAUAAAAGGAAAACAUUUUUCUUUUUCAUUUUCCUUCUCUCAGUUGCUCUCUCUUUCAUUUUAGCUCAUUUCUACUUUUGACUUCUGUUGAGAAAUGGAAUUUUCUGUAUUCAAUCAACCAUGCUCUGUACCUUCAUCAAUAUUACUUCAACGGUACACAAUCAGGAAACUGAUAACUGUAGGCUAUCAGAAGGUAUUUCUAUAAUAAGGCAGAAAUGUCUACAGUUCAUUUUAAGGGAAGUUUCCUAAUAAAUUUUUAAAGCAUAUUUUUUUUUCAUUUUUAGCAUCAAAGUCUAUUAUUUUCAUAAGCAGUUUAGGGAAUGGUAUACCCACAUGCGAAACUUUGAUAACAUCCUUUAUUAUGUUCUUAACAAAUGUAGAACUCAAUUAUUUCAAAUCUGUUCAAUUAACUCUCUAUUGCUUUUUCAUGCUGGUCAGUCAGUCCUUUAAGCUCUUUGCAGAAAUAACAGGAGCUUAAACCACAUAAUACUAGGUGUUUGAGGAGGGGGUAUGCUUUGAAAGGCUCAAUUCUUUGAGCAAAGUAGUUCUGAAAACUGUUUUCAUUUUCAUGAUGAUAAUCCAUCAAUUUCUACAGUCCUUAAAAUAAUAUAAAGCAGUUAAGCCAUGGAGUAUCAAGCCUUACCUACCACUGGAAGCAAGCUUUAGUUCUGUUUGUAAGGAUGUAAAAACAUUUUUAUACAAAGAAAAAUUAAUAGCCUUGAGCAUUUGGAUAAGGCCAAAAUAAUCCAUAAACUCUAAUGUUUUGGUUUACUUGGGAGGCCUUUUAAAAGCAUCAAAAUGGAAAAAACAAAUAUCUCAAAGAUAUCUUUAAAGAAAAAUUCUAGAAAUUAAUUUUUUCCAUCAAGCGAUAUAAGUAUUCAGUUAUACAAAUACAGUUUCAAAGAAUCAGAAUCAAAAUGGACUGUCCUAGCUCAAUAAUGGCAGAGAAAACAGCUUGGUUUGAUAAUUGGAGAAAUGGUUCAAGAAGCUAAGAAACAGAGACUAUGCUUCUCCUAUUAUCUGUCAGAAAUUUCAGCACAAAGAGUUCCCAUCAUGGCUCAGCAGAAAUGAAUCUGACUAGUAACCAUAAGGAUGCAGGUUUUAUCCCUGGCCUCACUCAGGAUUAAGGAUUAAGGAUCUGGCAUUGCCAUGAGCUACAGUGUUGGUCACAGAUGUGGCUUGGAUCUGGCAUUGCUAUGGCUGUGGUGUAGGCUGGCAACUGCAGCUCUGAUUCGACCCCUAGCCUGGGAACCUCCAUGUGUCAUGGGUGUGGUCCUAAAAGGACAAAAAAAAAAAGAAAGGAAUUUCAGGACAAGUCUGUUUUAAGGCAACAAGAACUCCAAGCUUCUAGACAGAGGGAAAGGUCAGCAAACAAUGGUCCUGAAUUAAAUUCAGCUUAGGGCAUGCUGCAGAAUGGUCUUUACAUUUUUUAAGAGUUGUGGGGUGAAAAAAAAGUAAAAGAAUAGGAAUAUGCAAAAGAUAACUGUAUGUAGCCUGCCAAUCCUAAAGUCUAUACCAGGCACUAUACAGAAAAAAGUUUUGCUGAUCUUUCUUCUGACAUGCAGUCUGAAAUUUAAAUUUAAUGCCUCUUUUUCCUUUAAACAGGAAAGAAACAAACUAGGAAAAACAGAACUAGAACCAGGAAAAAGUGAAAAUUCCACACCCAACAAAAAAAAAUUACCCAGGAAUAAGGAUUAAACACAGUGAUAUGCUUGAGUUGGUUCAUACUGGUUUUCAAGAACCAAUAAUUCAAUUUUCAGAAGUUUUGUGAGUUAGCUGGUAUACAAUUGCUAGUUUGAAAUCAGCCAUGUGUGAGAGUAUUUACACCAUGGAAAUUAGCAAACACUAUACAUAGGGCUUUGGGGGAGAGGUGUGUUUUUUUUCAAUUUUUCCUUUGUUUUCCAGCACGCUGGUGAUUGAAUGUCUUCACGGCAUGAAUUUUUUUUUUCCUUCUUAUGGCUAUACCUGAAGCAUAUGGAAGUAUCCAAGCUAGUGGUAAAAUUGGAGCUGCAGCUGCAGGCCUAUGCCACAACCACAGCAACACCAGAUCAGAGCCACAUCUACAACCUAAACUGCAGCUUGUAGCAACAUCUGAUCCAUAACCCACUGAGUAAGGCCAGGGAUCGAACCCACAUCUUCAUGGAGACUAUGUCAGAUCCAUAAUACAUUGAGCCACAAUGGGAACUCCAUUUUUAACAUGAAUUAUAAGGUGAGAUUUCUGUCAAAGAUUCUCAGCAUUGAAAUUAUCUUCCCAAACCAUCUAUAUACUUCUAAUGAAGUGAUCCUCAGCCUUUUUGCAUGUAGGUCUUCUGUCUGAGAACUUUCUUUUUGCAAGGUAGCCCAUUCAAUUCAGGAUUUGUAAAACAAUAUCAUAGACUUCCAUUUCUACAGUAUUAUUGACAGAAAAUUUUCUAUUACCAAAUUCAAAGACAUUCUAUACAGAAUAUAACAAGCACACAUAAAUUAUGACAUGCACAGACUAUGUGCAUGUGUUUUGUGCAUGCAUUUGGACCUUCCAAAGGGACAAAAACAAAAUGAAAACUGGAAUGUAGAGGGUAUGGCAUUUAAACUGACUCCAGAGAAGCUGGAUGGAAAGCUACUGCUCUCACAACCAAGGGACUUAAUAUUUAAAGGUCGUGAAAAUGGAGUUCCCAUUGUGGCUCAGCAGAAACAAAUUCAACUAGUAUUCAUGAGAAUAUGGGUUCAAUCCUUGGCCUUAGUCAGUGGGGUAGGGAUCCAACAUUGCAGUGAGCUGUGGUAUAGGUCACAGAAGUGGCUCAGAUCCCACGUUGCUGUGGCUGUGGUGCAGGCCGACAGCUGUAGCUCUGAUUCGACUCCUAGCCUGAUAAAUUCCCUAUGCCACUAGUGUGGC